rnacentral:pre_miRNA from 1 species
CACUCAAGAGAGGGGUACCUCAGCCCAGAUUGCAAGAGGAUGCAGGCCAGGCUGAGGGACCCCACCAGUGCACA